rnacentral:rRNA from 1 species
GAAUCCAUAGGUUAAUGAGGCGAACCGGGGGAACUGAAACAUCUAAGUACCCCGAGGAAAAGAAAUCAACCGAGAUUCCCCCAGUAGCGGCGAGCGAACGGGGAGGAGCCCAGAGCCUGAAUCAGUGUGUGUGUUAGUGGAAGCGUCUGGAAAGGCGCGCGAUACAGGGUGACAGCCCCGUACACAAAAAUGCACAUACUGUGAGCUCGAUGAGUAGGGCGGGACACGUGGUAUCCUGUCUGAAUAUGGGGGGACCAUCCUCCAAGGCUAAAUACUCCUGACUGACCGAUAGUGAACCAGUACCGUGAGGGAAAGGCGAAAAGAACCCCGGCGAGGGGAGUGAAAAAGAACCUGAAACCGUGUACGUACAAGCAGUGGGAGCCUCUUAAUGGGGUGACUGCGUACCUUUUGUAUAAUGGGUCAGCGACUUAUAUUCUGUAGCAAGGUUAACCGAAUAGGGGAGCCGAAGGGAAACCGAGUCUUAACUGGGCGUUAAGUUGCAGGGUAUAGACCCGAAACCCGGUGAUCUAGCCAUGGGCAGGUUGAAGGUUGGGUAACACUAACUGGAGGACCGAACCGACUAAUGUUGAAAAAUUAGCGGAUGACUUGUGGCUGGGGGUGAAAGGCCAAUCAAACCGGGAGAUAGCUGGUUCUCCCCGAAAGCUAUUUAGGUAGCGCCUCGUGAAUUCAUCUCCGGGGGUAGAGCACUGUUUCGGCAAGGGGGUCAUCCCGACUUACCAACCCGAUGCAAACUGCGAAUACCGGAGAAUGUUAUCACGGGAGACACACGGCGGGUGCUAACGUCCGUCGUGAAGAGGGAAACAACCCAGACCGCCAGCUAAGGUCCCAAAGUCAUGGUUAAGUGGGAAACGAUGUGGGAAGGCCCAGACAGCCAGGAUGUUGGCUUAGAAGCAGCCAUCAUUUAAAGAAAGCGUAAUAGCUCACUGGUCGAGUCGGCCUGCGCGGAAGAUGUAACGGGGCUAAACCAUGCACCGAAGCUGCGGCAGCGACACUAUGUGUUGUUGGGUAGGGGAGCG